rnacentral:lncRNA from 1 species
CAGAAAUUAAGCUGUGUUUGAAAGAGGGAACAAACAACACAUUAUGAAGAAUGAUGGAUGGAGUUAAUGCAAAAGAAUCUGUGGAGGUCACUUUUACUUUGUAUCCAUUAGCGAGAGUUACAAGAUAGGGUACUGUUAAGGGUGUGAUAUUAAAAAGUAAGCUAUUGUUAGAUGUCAUAUGAUUAGAUGCUCCUGAGUCUAUUAUCCAGGUGGCAGAAUCAAUUUGAGUAAGCAUACAAAGUUUGGAAUUAGAAAUAGGACUCUCAGUUAGCAUAGUACCAGCAAAAUUGGCAGUACACAUGGGAGGAAGAGCUUGAGCAGUGGAGUCCCCCAAUUGAGUCUAUUGUAGUAAGCUCAUCAAUUGAUCAUAUUGUUGUCUGCUCAACCCAGGUAUUGUAGAUCCUUGUUCAUUCACAGUUUGGACAGGUUGUUGAUUGUCAGUAGAAUUCCCAUGAGAGUUAAGGAAAGGUAGAUCCUUGUCCACUCACAGUUUGGACAGGUUGUUGAUUGUCAGUAGAAUUCCCAUGAGAGUUAGGAAAAUCUGCACCAGUGGUUAUAUGAGCAGCAGCAGGUCUACUUCCUUUGUUAAUGUUGGUACUAUGUGGAUACCAAUGAAGCUUGUAACACUUAUCAAUUAGGUGCCCAGACUUCUUACAGUAUCUACAUAACAAAGGUUCUCUGGUGUGGUCAAAAUUAACUUUUGGUCUGAAGGAAGAGGAAUUUGGCAUUGUAACUGGGUUCAUUCUAAAGGAAGAUGGGGAACCUUUGUGUGUGGUGACAUCGAAAGACAUAGAAUCAGGAUUAAACUGGGAGAUGACCAGGACUUGUCUUUGUUUUUCAUUAUUGAGGAGUAUAUUAUAGACAUUGUCAAGAGUAGGGGGAGGUUUCAUCAUCAAUAAGUUGCUCCUUACCCCCAUAUAUGUCUCAUUAAGGCCCAUGAGGAAUCGGAACACCUUAUUCUCCUCAUCCUCUUGGAUAAUGUCAUUUUUGGCAGCACAAAUGCACCUCUGCCCAUGGUUUGUACACACUGCUCCUAACUCAUCCCACAACCCUUUAAGCUUGUUAAAAUAUGAUGUUAUAUCCAGAGGUCCUUGAGAAGUAUGGGAGAGUUCCCUUUUGAGUUCAAAAAUUUUGGUUCUGUUAGCUGUGCCAUAUCUGGCUUCGAGUUGUGCCCAUAUACUCCAGAGGUCCUUGGGAAGUAUGGGAGAGUUCCCUUUUGAGUUCAAAAAUUUUGGUUCUGUUAGCUGUGUCAUAUCUGGCUUCGAGUUGUGCCCAUAUACUCUGUGCAGUCUCAGAGUAUUGCACACUCUAAGCUAUUUGAGGAGACAAAGAGGUAGUUAGCCAUGAGAUUACCAUAUUGUUGCACCUGUCCCAUAACCUAUGUUCACCCACAUUAAUGGUUGGUCGAGGACAUGUACCAUCAACAAAACCAAUUUUAUUCUUAGCCGACAAGGCGACUAUCAUUUUCAUCUUCUAACCCCCAUAACCAGUACCCGAAAAUGGAGUAGGAACGAGUGAUACUCCAGGAAUGUCAGAAGAAUAAACAAAAAGAGGGCUCGUAAAAUCAAUAUAAGGGGUAUUAUUAACAUUCAUGUUUAAUAUCAUGAAUAUCAGUGAAAUUUAGGUUUAGG